UUAAGCGACUAAGCGUACACGGUGGAUGCCCUGGCAGUCAGAGGCGAUGAAGGACGUGCUAAUCUGCGAAAAGCGUCGGUAAGGUGAUAUGAACCGUUAUAACCGGCGAUGUCCGAAUGGGGAAACCCAGUGCAAUUCGUUGCACUAUCGUUAACUGAAUACAUAGGUUAACGAGGCGAACCGGGGGAACUGAAACAUCUAAGUACCCCGAGGAAAAGAAAUCAACCGAGAUUCCCCCAGUAGCGGCGAGCGAACGGGGAGCAGCCCAGAGUCUGAAUCAGCUUGUGUGUUAGUGGAACGGUCUGGAAAGUCCGACGGUACAGGGUGAUAGUCCCGUACACCAAAAUGCACAGGUUGUGAACUCGAAGAGUAGGGCGGGACACGUGGUAUCCUGUCUGAAUAUGGGGGGACCAUCCUCCAAGGCUAAAUACUCCUGACUGACCGAUAGUGAACCAGUACCGUGAGGGAAAGGCGAAAAGAACCCCGGCGAGGGGAGUGAAAAAGAACCUGAAACCGUGUACGUACAAGCAGUGGGAGCACCUUCGGGUGUGACUGCGUACCUUUUGUAUAAUGGGUCAGCGACUUAUAUUCUGUAGCAAGGUUAACCGUAUAGGGGAGCCGCAGGGAAACCGAGUCUUAACUGGGCGUUAAGUUGCAGGGUAUAGACCCGAAACCCGGUGAUCUAGCCAUGGGCAGGUUGAAGGUUGGGUAACACUAACUGGAGGACCGAACCGACUAAUGUUGAAAAAUUAGCGGAUGACUUGUGGCUGGGGGUGAAAGGCCAAUCAAACCGGGAGAUAGCUGGUUCUCCCCGAAAGCUAUUUAGGUAGCGCCUCGUGAAUUCAUCUUCGGGGGUAGAGCACUGUUUCGGCUAGGGGGUCAUCCCGACUUACCAACCCGAUGCAAACUACGAAUACCGAAGAAUGUUAUCACGGGAGACACACGGCGGGUGCUAACGUCCGUCGUGAAGAGGGAAACAACCCAGACCGCCAGCUAAGGUCCCAAAGUCAUGGUUAAGUGGGAAACGAUGUGGGAAGGCACAGACAGCCAGGAUGUUGGCUUAGAAGCAGCCAUCAUUUAAAGAAAGCGUAAUAGCUCACUGGUCGAGUCGGCCUGCGCGGAAGAUGUAACGGGGCUAAACCAUGCACCGAAGCUGCGGCAGCGACACUAUGUGUUGUUGGGUAGGGGAGCGUUCUGUAAGCCUGCGAAGGUGACCUGUGAGGGUUGCUGGAGGUAUCAGAAGUGCGAAUGCUGACAUAAGUAACGAUAAAGCGGGUGAAAAGCCCGCUCGCCGGAAGACCAAGGGUUCCUGUCCAACGUUAAUCGGGGCAGGGUGAGUCGACCCCUAAGGCGAGGCCGAAAGGCGUAGUCGAUGGGAAACAGGUUAAUAUUCCUGUACUUGGUGUUACUGCGAAGGGGGGACGGAGAAGGCUAUGUUAGCCGGGCGACGGUUGUCCCGGUUUAAGCAUGUAGGCUGGUUGUCCAGGCAAAUCCGGAUAAUCAAGGCUGAGGUGUGAUGACGAGGCACUACGGUGCUGAAGUAACAAAUGCCCUGCUUCCAGGAAAAGCCUCUAAGCAUCAGGUAACAUCAAAUCGUACCCCAAACCGACACAGGUGGUCAGGUAGAGAAUACCAAGGCGCUUGAGAGAACUCGGGUGAAGGAACUAGGCAAAAUGGUGCCGUAACUUCGGGAGAAGGCACGCUGGUGUGUAGGUGAAGUCCCUGCGGAUGGAGCUGAGACCAGUCGAAGAUACCAGCUGGCUGCAACUGUUUAUUAAAAACACAGCACUGUGCAAACACGAAAGUGGACGUAUACGGUGUGACGCCUGCCCGGUGCCGGAAGGUUAAUUGAUGGGGUUAUCCGUAAGGAGAAGCUCUUGAUCGAAGCCCCGGUAAACGGCGGCCGUAACUAUAACGGUCCUAAGGUAGCGAAAUUCCUUGUCGGGUAAGUUCCGACCUGCACGAAUGGCGUAAUGAUGGCCAGGCUGUCUCCACCCGAGACUCAGUGAAAUUGAACUCGCUGUGAAGAUGCAGUGUACCCGCGGCAAGACGGAAAGACCCCGUGAACCUUUACUAUAGCUUGACACUGAACAUUGAGCCUUGAUGUGUAGGAUAGGUGGGAGGCUUUGAAGCGUGGACGCCAGUCUGCGUGGAGCCAACCUUGAAAUACCACCCUUUAAUGUUUGAUGUUCUAACGUUGGCCCCUUACCGGGGUUGCGGACAGUGUCUGGUGGGUAGUUUGACUGGGGCGGUCUCCUCCCAAAGCGUAACGGAGGAGCACGAAGGUUAGCUAAUCCUGGUCGGACAUCAGGAGGUUAGUGCAAUGGCAUAAGCUAGCUUGACUGCGAGCGUGACGGCGCGAGCAGGUGCGAAAGCAGGUCAUAGUGAUCCGGUGGUUCUGAAUGGAAGGGCCAUCGCUCAACGGAUAAAAGGUACUCCGGGGAUAACAGGCUGAUACCGCCCAAGAGUUCAUAUCGACGGCGGUGUUUGGCACCUCGAUGUCGGCUCAUCACAUCCUGGGGCUGAAGUAGGUCCCAAGGGUAUGGCUGUUCGCCAUUUAAAGUGGUACGCGAGCUGGGUUUAGAACGUCGUGAGACAGUUCGGUCCCUAUCUGCCGUGGGCGCUGGAGAAUUGAGGGGGGCUGCUCCUAGUACGAGAGGACCGGAGUGGACGCAUCACUGGUGUUCGGGUUGUCAUGCCAAUGGCACUGCCCGGUAGCUAAAUGCGGAAGAGAUAAGUGCUGAAAGCAUCUAAGCACGAAACUUGCCCCGAGAUGAGUUCUCCCUGAGACUUUAAGUCUCCUGAAGGAACGUUAAAGACGAUGACGUUGAUAGGCCGGGUGUGUAAGCGCAGCGAUGCGUUGAGCUAACCGGUACUAAUGAACCGUGAGGCUUAACCU
rnacentral:rRNA from 1 species